rnacentral:rRNA from 1 species
UGGGGGAUAUUGCACAAUGGGCGAAAGCCUGAUGCAGCGACGCCGCGUGGGGGAAGAAGGCCUUCGGGUUGUAAACUUCUUUUGCUCUGAACAAGGCGCACCAUGGGGUGUGUUGAGUGUAGGGGUUGAUUAGCGCCGGCUAACUACGUGCCAGCAGCCGCGGUAAUACGUAGGGCGCGAGCGUUGUCCGGAAUUAUUGGGCGUAAAGGGCUUGUAGGUGGCUGGUUGCGUCUGUCGUGAAAGCUCAUGGCUUAACUGUGGGUUUGCGGUGGGUACGGGCUGGCUUGAGUGCAGUAGGGGAGGCUGGAAUUCCUGGUGUAGCGGUGGAAUGCGCAGAUAUCAGGAGGAAUACCGGUGGCGAAGGCGGGUCUCUGGGCUGUUACUGACACUGAGGAGCGAAAGCAUGGGGAGCGAACAGG